rnacentral:tmRNA from 1 species
GGGGGUGACUGGUUUCGACUUCGUACGUUGAGGCAGGGGAAGCGAGCCGAGGAAGCCGACGUCGUCUCGAGAAUCGUUCGUCGGAAAACAAUAAGCGCCGAGGACAAUCGCGUUCGCGGUGACUUCGCUCUCGCCGCCUGAGGCGAGUAGCGAGUCUGUCGGCCUGGGAGCGCCUUCGACCCAGUUAGCCGGCAUCAGCUAGAAGGCUGGCCAACCGGACCCGGUCGCGGGGUCCGUGCGGCGAGAUCAAUCAGCGACUGGGCCCGUCACACCGACUCGCUCGCGUGAUCGGAGGGGCCGAGUAGAGGCACAGCGAGCUGCGCUCGGAGAAGCCCUGACAAGGCGGCGAAGGACCCGGGUUCGAUUCCCGGCACCUCCACCA